CGCGGCCCCAGCCCCCGAGAAGCGGUGGGAGGCGGCGCGCGGGACGCGUGCUUGGCUCCGCGCUUCGGGAAUGAAAGGAGAGGCAGAGAGCCCGGAGCGCACGGAGUUCUCAAGGAGCUCUGUGUUCAGGGAACACUGCGCUCGGCCGCUCGCGCCGGCCGCAGGCUUCGCGCUGGAGCGAGGGGGAGGGGAGGACGCCGGCGCCGCUCGGCCGCACCGCUGGAGUCCGGGGGGCGCAGCCUUCCCGGCGCGGCUUGCCUCUGCGCGGGGCGGACGUGGAGCCGGCGGACUCCGUCAGCUGCCUUCCUCCCCCCCCCCCCAAAAAAAAAUUAUUUUCUUUAGCCUGCAAAUAAGAAAAGAACAGAGGUGGCGCGGAGGGACCCUAGAGGUCAGAGCCCAUGAGCUAGUAGGUGAAGUCGUGGGCAGGCUGAACCUGACAGGUUUCCCUCUUAAAGUUAAAACUCUGCCCUGAGUUCAUUCAGGGGCUUGCUCUCAAAGAGCUGAACUGUACUCUGAGGGAGGCGGAGAAAGAAAUUUAUGAAAGCUGACAUUAAGGGUUGUUCUCCUCACAACCCGUGACUACAAUACGUUCCCAGAUACGGCAAAAGUCUGGAAUAAGAGACUCAAAAUGGCUGAUGGAGAAGAAUCAUAUCAUAGAAACUUAAGGAAAGAUCCACUGGAAGAUCCAACAUGGCUGAGUAGAGGAAGAGCCAUAUCAGAGAGACCCAGAAAAAAUCAGCAAGAAACAAAGAGGAGAGAGGAAAAGUUGGCAGAGCAAAGACUUCCAGCAGCUCAGUUUCUCCAAGACAAGGUGUCUAGCAAACAGUAGCUUGGAGAUGAACUGAAGUGAGAGGAAGGUACAUGGGAACAAGGAGGGAAAUGACAGAAGAGAAGAAAAAUGGGAUUAAAUAAUACAACUUCUGUGCCGGCUUCAGAUACAGGCUUGUGGGCUGUCUACCAGGAGGCACAGUGAAUAACUUCCCUAGUCUUGGAGUACUUUCACUCCAAUAUUACGCAAUCGGAGACAGCAGGAAGAAUGUGAGUCUCCAAUUCCUGAGUGAUCUGAAUGGUAACAAGUGGUGGGGGUCUGCAUCACAAGUGCCCCAAGACGUAGCCAUGCAGUGCAGUCACAGGCCUAGAAACACUCUGGGAAAGGGCUGGGAGUUUGAAUUUCAGUCCCAGAGCAGGCCUCUGGUGGCAUCAUACUGACAGGAUCCUGGAGUUAAUGAGGAAGAGACAAUCACUGGAGACUGGCAGUUGGAGAGGAGAUCAGAACGAGUCUUAGUGAAAGGCAGGAACUGAUGACACAGACUCAAGAACUACUAUCAGGUUACUCAGGAUUGGAAGUUCACACUGGCACUGUGUUCUAACAUUCAAAAGAGACUUUAAGCAGGAGCUCGAGGUAUGGUAUUUCUCAACUUGCUCUGAUGGGCACCACUGAAAUGAAAUAACCUGUUAACUGCUGAAGUUGAAUAAGUUGCAUAGGAAUAUAUGUACUGUCAAUAUAACUUUGUAUAUGGAACAUGCUGUUUUCAUGGGUGAAUACUGCCAUAGGUAUGAUAAUUGAAGUAAAGAUUAUUUUUGAAAGAGUUUUACUUUUAUUUUCAUUGUAGUUCACCUAGGAAAUUAUUUCUACUGUUACUUAUUAGAUAGUAUAAGCAAGUAAAUAGAUGAUGUCAAAAAUGUUGAUACUUAUUCUAAACACCCUUAUAUGUUUGAUAUUUUACUUUGAGAUGUUAAUUUCCUGCUAAAUACACAUUGUAUAAUGUAAUAGAAAGCUCCUAACAAAAAUGGAAGACAAGAGAGGUGACAAGUGUAACCUGCUGAAAAGGAAGGGAAGCUAAGCACAUGUGCUCAAUGUGAGACUUAAGUAUGGAACAUGCUGUUGUCAUGUGUGAAGACUGCCAUAGAUGCAUACUCCUAAAAACUAAGUGUGACAUUGUACACCCUCUGUAAUAUACCUUUCAAACAGUUUACCAUGAUGGUCCUAUUAAUACCUGUCAAUUUAUCUGCUGCACUGACUAUCACGUGCAGGAAAUGGGGCAGCAAGUUUUUAAUCCUAGAAUUUGGACUAUAUCAAACUGCAAAAUGCUUGCUACUUGACAGAAGGAGGUCCUGAGUCUGCAUUAGUUCCACGUUUGCAGUAAGGGAAAACGUAAGAGUAAUUGGAAGUAUGAGGACUCAAAGUCUCUGGAAAAAGAACUACUUGAGAAUCAUUACACCAUGAAUUAUUGGAAAAUCUAAGUUGAUUUCCCAGCAGGUAUCUUAUUGGUUUAAAUUUUGUGUAUAUUUUUUGACAUUUAAUAAAGAGGAGUUCUGUUCUUUUAUUGUUUCAUGCAGUGUUAGGUGGUUACCCUUGUAUAUCUGUGCUUUCAUUGGCUCUGAUUUAAUAGGGGUCUAGGUUCUCUCCUUUGUCUAGAGAAUAGAUAAUGAGCAUGAGAGAAACUGCAAGGACUAUCAUAAAAUUUCUGUAAGAUUGAAUCUGUGGAUACUGUUAUAAAUGGAAGCAAUUCUUAUGGCACACAUAGGGAGUAUUGAAAUCACUUAAGCUAAAUAACGGAAGGAGUAAAUAAUAGAACUGAAUACACAAAGCUGAAAAAUAUUCAUGAGGAGGAAGCAUCCUACUAAAAGUUCCAUAUAACCACAUACUCUUCUCACAUUUCUAAUCCCCAGCCUGCAGUAGCCCAACCCAGAAAAGGGAGGAGGGAAAAGGAGGGAAAUACAUAUAAUUAAAAAUAACAGAUAGAUAGAUAGAUAGAUAGAUAGAUAGAUAGAUAGAUAGAUUAAAUAAAUAUAAAAGAAGGAGAAUGGGAAAAUAAGGAAGUAAAAGAUCUAAGCUUCAAGGCUUCCCUGAGACAGACCAGCAAGUUACAGAGGGAAAAGAAAUACCAGAUUGCAGAAAUUUACGAAGUUCUCAGAAAGAAUGAAAAAAAUAGAUGACUUCAAAGAGGAAAUGAACCAAAAAUUACAGCAAUUACCAUUAGUAUACCUAUUAUAACUUGAGAGAAGUAAAUAGAAAACUGGAUGUGCUAAACAAAACAGUUCAGACUUUGAAAGACACAUCCAAUGAGGAUAUGGAAUUCUCAAAAUAGGUCAGAAAAAAUACCUGAAAUAAAAAAAUUACAGAAUUAAUACAUUCUACAAAUGGUUAGUGUGAAACAAUGUCUGAUAUUGAGGACAAGAUAGUGAAUCAUAAUAAAGUUCAUAAAGAAUUGAAAAAGAAAACAAGAACAAGAGAACAUUAUCCAGCAACUAUUAUAUGAAAACAAGAAGAAGAAUCCAAGGCUAAUUGGAAUUAGAGAAAAUCUAGAUGAUUCUAUAGAUAGAUUCACCAACAUGCUUACAGAAAAUAUAGAAUAAUAUUUCCUAAAUAUAAAAAAAUUUAAAAUAUAAAUAACUGGUGCUAACAGAAUUCCAAAUAGUUAUGAUGAAAGUAGUGCAUCAAGGUAUAUCCUCAUUAAUUUACAGAUACUCACAAAAAAUCAAAAAAAUUUAAAUGUAACUAAGGUGAAACAAAACAUUGCUAGGUAAACCAAUUAGGAUAACUACAGACUUCUCAGUACAAACCCCAAAGGCAAAGAGCUGGAGUGAAGUAUUUCAGCUCCCAAGUAACUUUCAACCCAACUUAACUGACCCAGCAAAGCUAUCCUUCAAAAUAGAUGGAAAAAUAGUAAAACAGCCAGCUCAGAAGAUAUGAAUAGUAAGCCCGCCCUACAGAAAAUACUCAAGAAUAUUGUCAAAAGAAACAGACAAUGGAUUGUACACCUCUAAAAACAAAGAGGAAAUUAGGUCAAUGGAUUAAAAAAAAAACAACAAAAACACCAGGAAAAGUAAAAUAAAUGAUAUGUCAACAGAUAAAAUAGAAAAUGAUAGAAAAUAACUAACACAUCUUAGUAAUAUCUCAAUAUCAGUGGCCUCAACACUCUAAUCAAAAGACACAGCUUGGCAAAUUGGAUCAGCAAACAAUUCAACAAUCCGUUGGAUUAAAAAAAUUUAUCUAGUCCAAAAAGAUAGUCAAAAACUAAAAAUAAAAGGAUGGAAAACAACAUUCCUUGCACCAGACCCCAAAACCCAGCAGGUAUAGCAGUUCUAUUAUCAGAUAUGGUAAACUUCAAAUUAAAAUGGAUUAGAAGAGACAAGUUCAUUAUGUAACAGUUAAAGAAACAACCCUACAAGAAGUGAUAACAAUAAACAUAUAUAAUAAUUAUACUACUAUCUUCAUAAAACAAAAAUUGUUGAAAUUAAAAGGUCAAAUAAAUAUUAAUAUGAUCCUAGUAGGAUAUUUUAACACACCACUUCUUCAAAGAAACAAAUCAACUAAACAAAAAACCAAUAAAGAAACUUCACAGCUGAGCCACACUACUGAACAUAUGGACUUAAUAGAUAAAUACAGAAUAUCCCACUCCUCUACAACAGAGUGUACAUCUUUUUCAGCAACACGUGGUAGUUUUUCCAAAAAUAGAUCACAUACUAUUCCACAAACUCAGCUUAAGUAAAUUUAAAUAAACUGAAAUCAUCCCAUGCAUAGUAUACAGUCGCUUUGCAAACAAAAUAGAAUUUUGGAAAACGGAAGACUUCCUGGAAAAUUAACAACUCACUUUUAAAUAACCAAUAGACUUAAUCAAAACAGAAAUUUAACAUUUUCUAGACAUUAAUGACAAUAAUUAUACAACUCAAUGAAACAUUUGGGAAACUACAAAAGCAGUUCUAAGAGGAAAAUUCAUCACAAUCAGUGCUCACUUUAGAAAAACAGAGCAGGCUCAAAUUAAUAAUCUUAUGAGAAAUCUUAGGAUAUUCAAGAAAUAACAACAAAAUAGUCCCAAGCAGAAAUCAAUAAAAUUGAGACUAAACAACUGUAAAAAUUCAAUGAAUCAAACUGCUAGUUCUUUAAAAGAAUAAAUAAACAUGUCUAGUUUUAGUGUUUGACAAAUGCAAAGUCGGUUUUUUAACACCAUUUGUCAAAGAGGCUUGCUUUCUUCCAGUGAACACGGUUUGGACCCUUGUCAAAAAUAGGUCUUUGUACUUGGUUCUGCAUCUUCUAAUCUGUUCCAUUGAUUCUCAGGAGUGCGUGUUUGUUUGUUUUGUUUGAUAUUUUUAUUUAUUUGCCAGUACCAUGCUAAUUUUAUCACAGUAGCUUCCUAGUGUAAUUUCAAGUCAGGGCUUGUGAUACCUCCUGCCUUGCCUUUGUUGCCUAGUUUUACUUUUGCUAUUCUGCCUUUUCUAUUUCCAAAUGAAUUUAGGAAUGUUUGCUCUAGACCUAUGAGAUGUGCUAAUGUAUAUUAAUUAGGAUUGCAUUAAAGCGGUAUAACUAAUUUGGGAAUAAAGCCAUUUUCACAA